UACGUAGGGGGCGAGCGUUGUCCGGAGUUACUGGGCGUAAAGCGCACGCAGGCGGUCUGCUAAGUUUGGAGUGGCAGUUGGUGGCUUAACUGCCAAAGUGCUUCGAAAACUGACAGACUUGAGGGCUUCAGAGGGACACGGAAUUCCGGGUGGAGUGGUGAAAUGCGUAGAGAUCCGGAGGAACACCAAAGGCGAAGGCAGUGUCCUGGGGAGUACCUGACGCUCAGGUGACGAAAGCCAGGGAGCGAACGGG
rnacentral:rRNA from 1 species